UAACAAAUUUGGUCCGUGACUCGGAUCGAGAUUUUGGAGGGGCUCUCUGCCUGCGGGGAGGCGCGCCCCACCAUUUUGGAGGGCCCAAUUGACCCCUUAAAUUUUGUGCACAAAGUCCGGACGAAGACGCAGGACGCGUUCAGCCCGGGGACUGGGUACUGGUCCGAAGUUGGAAGGAAAAUCCGAUAACACCCAAGUGGGAAGGACCUUACCAGGUGUUGCUUACAACAGACACAGCAGUACGCACUGUGGAAAAAGGGUGGACUCACGCAAGCCGAAUCAAGGGACCAGUAGAUCCGUCUAAAUUCACCAACGACCCCGGGUGGGAAGUGAAGGGCACACCUGGGAGCCUGAAACUGACACUUAAGAAGCGAGUAAGCUCUAAUUAAAAAGACAGGCUACAUUAUUCCCACCCCACCACAGGUAUGAGACUUUUUCCACAUGAGAGAUAGACUGUGGGAUCCAACAUACUAUUCCUUCCUGGCAGAGCUCCGAGCAACAGGAGCACCAGUGGGGGGGUGGGGGGGGGGGAAGAUCUGCUGAAUGCAGCAGUGAAAAUAAGAUGUAAUGCUGAAAAUUGCUGGGGAAAUUGUAACCCUUUUGUAUGCUUUAUUUGUUUAGUUUGUAAGGAGGAGUGGUGGACCCAUUGCAGCAACAGUUACCCUCCAAGGGGAGUGUGUAAAAAUUGUUAUUCGGACCAAAGGCUACUCACCUCUCAGGUCCUGGCUACCAAAGUGGCUGCCAGAGAACUUUUAAGAGGGUCUGAAGAGUGGUGGAAAAUUUUUACAAAGGGGAUAAACCCCCAGUUCUAUUGUUAUCACUCUAAUGAACCUGCCCCAUUUGUGGCUAGGAUAGUAGCCGCCCUGUGCAGACGGUGGGUACCUGAACUCAGUUGCUAUACCCCUCAAAUUAAGAACCGCAAGUGGUAUAAAUACAUAAAACGUAUCAAAAAGCAUGGGUCAAACACCCCUCCUGAAGAAUACUCCUGCUGCCGAGAAGAUGAAACUCCCCAUAGCUCGUAGCAACCGAGUUGAUGGGCAAGGCAGAGGAGAUGAGAGCAGUGGAGGGGGGAGCCCGAGAAAAAGGGGAAAACGAGGAACAGGUACCCAGAGCCGUCGAAAGUCCAAGGGAAAAGAAAAGUCUGAGGUAAAUUGGAAGGAAAAUAAAAAAAGCGGUUGUGGAAAAUGGGGAAGCUACCACCUCCAAUUAGGAAUCUUAUAUAUAAUGCUUUUGAGAUCUGCGCUUGCAAGCCAUGAACCCUUUAAAUGGCCACUAAUACAAUGGGAAGGUCAGAAGGAAAUUCAAACACAAAUUACUUCGAAAGGUCCUAGCUUUAACAUAACCCUGGAUGACCUACUUGAUAGGACGGGUUCUAGCCCCUAUAGUGUAUUCUACAUGUGUCCAGCAUCUAACCCAGGGAGGUCAUACUGUAACUACCCCGGAGAAUUUUACUGUGGAUAUUGGGGCUGUGAAACAAUUUCCCUGGGAUGGUCGGUUCAAAUCCAAGAUAAAUACUUAAGGGUUGAAAGAGGUCCACAUGGAUGUAAAAAGCCCUAGACAGAUCCGUCAGGGGUGGUGACUUA